ensembl:lncRNA
AGGAAUAACAUGCUGGAAGUUGGAUGAACUGAGUCAUAACACCAAAAGAACAUUUUCAAAAGCAAUUGAUCUCACUAACUGCUAUCUCUGAACCACUUGCUUUGCAAGCAAGCUCACUAUGGAGCCCACAGAAGUGUGAACAAAUGGGAUGUCACCAGAGCCACAGAUUCUCAGAAAAUAAUUUCAACCAGAGCCAUGGAAGAAAGAGCUGACCAAUGGCUUGCAGAGCAUCAGGUGCUCUGGGAAGAUGAGGUGAAUAGCUGUGACUGUAAGAAGUUCUCCAUUUCAAGCGUGUUUCAAGAUUGCAAAGUACACAUCCAAACGUCAUUCAAGCUGUCAGUCCUAAAAGCUGCAAUCUUGCACGUUGCUCACACAACAGCCAUGUCACAGUCCUCUCCUGCAAUUUAAUUUUGAUUUGCAGGACUCAUUUUUUGAACAAAGGUCAUCUAGUGCCUGCUCAUCUCUGGACCUCCUUUGCUAAACCUGACGUAACAUCAAUAAGAAUUGUUGGAUGUGAAGAAGAGGACUGGUUUGCUACAGGGGA